GAUGAAGAACGUAGCGAAAUGCGAUAAGUAGUGUGAAUUGCAGAAUUCAGUGAAUCAUCGAAUCUUUGAACGCACAUUGCGCCCCUUGGUAUUCCAUGGGGCAUGCCUGUUCGAGCAUCAUUUGUACCUUCAAGCUUUGCUUGGUGUUGGGUGUUUGUCCCUCGGGACUCGCCUUAAAGUCAUUGGCAGCCAGUGUUUUGGUUUUGAAGCGCAGCACAAGUCGCGAUUCAAGGCUAUCCGCCCGCUUCCACAAGCCUUUUUCACUUUUGACCUCGGAUCAGGUAGGGAUACCCGCUGAACUUAAGCAUAUCAAAAGCGGAGGA
rnacentral:misc_RNA from 1 species